GAUGAACGCUGGCGGCGUGCCUAAUACAUGCAAGUCGAGCGAACAGACGAGGAGCUUGCUCCUCUGACGUUAGCGGCGGACGGGUGAGUAACACGUGGAUAACCUACCUAUAAGACUGGGAUAACUUCGGGAAACCGGAGCUAAUACCGGAUAAUAUAUUGAACCGCAUGGUUCAAUAGUUAAAGACGGUUUUGCUGUCACUUAUAGAUGGAUCCGCGCCGCAUUAGCUAGUUGGUAAGGUAACGGCUUACCAAGGCGACGAUGCGUAGCCGACCUGAGAGGGUGAUCGGCCACACUGGAACUGAGACACGGUCCAGACUCCUACGGGAGGCAGCAGUAGGGAAUCUUCCGCAAUGGGCGAAAGCUUGACGGAGCAACGCCGCGUGAGUGAUGAAGGUCUUCGGAUCGUAAAACUCUGUUAUUAGGGAAGAACAAAUGUGUAAGUAACUAUGCACGUCUUGACGGUACCUAAUCAGAAAGCCACGGCUAACUACGUG
rnacentral:rRNA from 1 species